rnacentral:rRNA from 1 species
GAAGGCCCCACUGUCUUAAGAGAAUUCCCAGUGAAAUUGAAUUCGUAGUGAAGAUGCUACGUCCAAUUUGUCAGACGAAAAGACCCCAUUGAGCUUUACUGGAGACUUACAUUGCUCGGAUCGACUCUCGCCCCCCCUUGGCGGGGGGGGUGGUCGAAUUUAAAUGGAUAGCUUAGAUUAUGUGGUGCCAUAACCGUCGAUCAAGUAGUCCCCCUACGGGAUUGCCCCCCCGAAGGUUGACCUAUUUGGGUGAAUGAAACCCCACUCCUUUUUGUUAAAUGAGCUAACCCUUUCUCCCUUAAAGGGGGACAAUGUAAGUUGGACAGUUUGGUUGGGGCGACCGCCUUUUAAAGAGUAACGAAGGUGUGCUUAAGGUACACAAUCAAUAACACAAGCCUGACUGCGAGGGGGACCCCCCGAGCAGACACCUAAAAUCUUCUCCCUUCCCCCCCGAAGGUUAAAGACGAACGGUGGGCUAUAGUGACCCGUUAAUUUAGAGUGGAAUAGUUAACGAUCAACGAAUAAAAGUUACCAUGGGGA